rnacentral:rRNA from 1 species
UUACACAUGCAGGUCGACGGUGACCUCGGAGCUUGCUCCGGGUGAUCAGUGGCGAACGGGUGAGUAACACGUGACCAACCUGCCCCCGACUCUGGGAUAACCCCGGGAAAUCGGAGCUAAUACCGGAUAUGAGGCGCACAGGCAUCUGGGCGUCUGGAAAGAAUUUCGGUCGGGGAUGGGGUCGCGGCCUAUCAGCUAGUUGGUGGGGUAAAGGCCUACCAAGGCGACGACGGGUAGCCGGCCUGAGAGGGCGACCGGCCACACUGGGACUGAGACACGGCCCAGACUCCUACGGGAGGCAGCAGUGGGGAAUAUUGCACAAUGGGCGCAAGCCUGAUGCAGCGACGCCGCGUGAGGGAUGACGGCCUUCGGGUUGUAAACCUCUUUCAGCAGGGAAGAAGCGCAAGUGACGGUACCUGCAGAAGAAGCGCCGGCUAACUACGUGCCAGCAGCCGCGGUAAUACGUAGGGCGCAAGCGUUGUCCGGAAUUAUUGGGCGUAAAGAGCUCGUAGGCGGUCUGUCGCGUCUGCUGUGAAAACCCGAGGCUCAACCUCGGGCCUGCAGUGGGUACGGGCAGACUAGAGUGCGGUAGGGGAGACUGGAAUUCCUGGUGUAGCGGUGGAAUGCGCAGAUAUCAGGAGGAACACCGAUGGCGAAGGCAGGUCUCUGGGCCGCAACUGACGCUGAGGAGCGAAAGCGUGGGGAGCGAACAGGAUUAGAUACCCUGGUAGUCCACGCCGUAAACGUUGG